rnacentral:rRNA from 1 species
GUGCCAGCAGCCGCGGUAAUACGUAGGGGGCAAGCGUUGUCCGGAAUUAUUGGGCGUAAAGCGCGCGCAGGCGGUUCCUUAAGUCUGAUGUGAAAGGCCACAGCUCAACUGUGGAGGGCCAUUGGAAACUGGGGAACUUGAGGACAGAAGAGGAGAGCGGAAUUCCACGUGUAGCGGUGAAAUGCGUAGAUAUGUGGAGGAACACCAGUGGCGAAGGCGGCUCUCUGGUCUGUAACUGACGCUGAGGCGCGAAAGCAUGGGUAGCGAACAGGAUUAGAAACCCCCGUAGUCC